AUUGAACGCUGGCGGCAGGCCUAACACAUGCAAGUCGAACGAGUGGCGGACGGGGGAGUAAUGUCUGGGAAACUGCCCGAUGGAGAGGGAUAACUACUGUAAAAAGUGGCUAAAACCGCAUACGCUCGGAUGUGUGCAGAUAGGAUUAGCUUGUAGGUGAGGUAACGGCUCACCUAGGCGACGAUCCCUCGCUGGUCUGAGAGGAUGACCAGCCACACUGGAACUGAGACACGGUCCAGACUCCUACGGGAGGCAGCAGUGGGGAAUAUUGCACAAUGGGCGCAAGCCUGAUGCAGCCAUGCCGCGUGUAUGAAGAAGGCCUUCGGGUUGUAAAGUACUUUCAGUGGGGAGGCGUUACCCGCAGAAGAAGCACCGGCUAACUCCGUGCCAGCAGCCGCGGUAAUUC
rnacentral:rRNA from 1 species